GAUGAACGCUGGCGGCGUGCUUAACACAUGCAAGUCGAACGAAGCACUUUUCCAGCUUUCUUCGGAAUGAAGUUUUAGUGACUGAGUGGCGGACGGGUGAGUAACGCGUGGGUAACCUGCCUCACACAGGGGGAUAACAGUUGGAAACGACUGCUAAUACCGCAUAAGCGCCCAGUACCGCAUGGAACGGCCUGAUAAACUCCGGUGGUGUGAGAUGGACCGGCGUCUGAUUAGCUAGUUGGCAGGGCAACGGCCUACCAAGGCGACGCUCAGUAGCCGACCUGAGACGGUGACCGGCCACAUUGGGACUGAGACACGGCCCAAACUCCUACGGAAGGCAGCAGGGGGGAAUAUUGCACAAUGGGGGAAACCCUGAUGCAGCGACGCCGCGUGAGCGAAGAAGUAUUUCGGUAUGUAAAGCUCUAUCAGCAGGGAAGAAGAAAUGACGGUACCUGACUAAGAAGCACCGGCUAAAUACGUGCCAGCCGCCGCCGUAA
rnacentral:rRNA from 1 species